GAUGAACGCUGGCGGCGUGCUUAACACAUGCAAGUCGAACGAUGAAGCCCAGCUUGCUGGGUGGAUUAGUGGCGAACGGGUGAGUAACACGUGAGUAACCUGCCCUUAACUCUGGGAUAAGCCUGGGAAACUGGGUCUAAUACCGGAUAGGAGCGUCCACCGCAUGGUGGGUGUUGGAAAGAUUUAUCGGUUUUGGAUGGACUCGCGGCCUAUCAGCUUGUUGGUGAGGUGAUGGCUCACCAAGGCGACGACGGGUAGCCGGCCUGAGAGGGUGACCGGCCACACUGGGACUGAGACACGGCCCAGACUCCUACGGGAGGCAGCAGUGGGGAAUAUUGCACAAUGGGCGAAAGCCUGAUGCAGCGACGCCGCGUGAGGGAUGACGGCCUUCGGGUUGUAAACCUCUUUCAGUAGGGAAGAAGCGAAAGUGACGGUACCUGCAGAAGAAGCACCGGCUAACUACGUG
rnacentral:rRNA from 1 species